GAUGAAGAACGCAGCGAAAUGCGAUAAGUAAUGCGAAUUGCAGAAUUCAGUGAGUCAUCGAAUCUUUGAACGCACACUGCGCCCUGUGGUAUUCCGCAGGGCAUGCCUGUUCGAGCGUCAUUUCAACCCUCAAGCCCCGCUUGGUGUUGGGCCCCGCCCGCUGUGGCCGGCCCUAAAGACAGUGGCGGCGCCGCCUGGCCCUCAGCGUAGUACAUCUCUCGCUCCAGGGUCCGGUGGCCGCCUGCCAGAACCCCCCAACUCUGUGGUUGACCUCGGAUCAGGUAGGGAUACCCGCUGAACUUAAGCAUAUCAAUAAGCGAGGA
rnacentral:misc_RNA from 1 species